AUGGCGGGAAAAGCCGAGCGAGCGGGAGACGGUCGGGCGGUUUCUAACGUUAUUUAUUUCGAUUAAAACCGAACCCGGAGGCGCUUUUGGGACUUGCCGCCUCCUCGGGGGAACUCUCCGGAGAGACUUUCACCUCAGCAUUUCCAGCUCGGGGUCCCGCCGAGUUAGAUAACAUUAUAUUUUUAAUUUCAGCCUGCCUUCUGUCAACAGACAUCCUUGAUCACCCAUGAAGCGCAAAAAGAGGUCUGGAAACCCAAAGAUAGAGGAAUGCGACAUUUGGUUGGACACAAGGGAGCUAAAGAGGAAGAAAGUGGAGGAAGACGUUACAGCCAGAACACAGGAAAUAUUCCUGUUUAGUCAGCUCAAAGUUGAAGCUUCUCCAUUCCAGUCAUAGCAAACUACAUUGCGGAAGAACACUAUUUGGUUAUCCGUGCUUGAGCAGUCUCUUUCGAGAAAUCAGAAACAGAAAUUGCUGGAGAAACUCAACAGUCCCAUUCCAUUUCAAAGCUGCUGAAGCCACUGUCCAGAAGGAAUCACACUGCCGAGGUUGCUGUAAAUUUCACUCAGGCAAGGGCUCCUCAGCAGUGCAUAAAACAGACAACAGUCUCUUCCUUCUUCUUUCCAAAGGCUCAAGGUAAACUUGCAGACCCCACACGCACAUCAAUCCUGAGUGCUGUGGGUGCUGCCUCCUCAAAUUCUGUCACUGAAAAGGAAACAUACACAGAUCAGCCUGAGCUGAUCACUGACAAUGAUUUCUGCAGAGACAACUUUGGCUGCUCCACUCCUGUGAGCCACGAGGAGAGGUUACCAUCAAUCUUAAGAGCUGUCCACUGCAACUCAGAGGAGAGAGUGCCUCUUUGUGGAACUACACAUGGCAACACUGCCCACAUUCCAAAUAAGCAGGCUCACCAGCUGUUCAAGGAAAGAGAACAUUCCUGUCUUAAGGGUGGUGCCAACAUCAAUAUUGUAGAGUAUGAGUUACCAUCUGCACAUGGUGCUGCAGGAGUAACAUGUGCAUCUGUUGCCACUCCGAGUGAGCCUCCUAAUGAUUUUACUCAGCUGGAUUUCACUCAAGACUCGCAAGGAAAUAGAGUUAUCUCGCACAGGAAGGUAACCAGAUCACCAGUCAUGAAUUACACAUCAUAUAAGGGCAUGCCUGUUCCCAACGGGAAGUCCACUGACUUUCCAGCCGCUGCGUCAGAAAUCCUGAGCAUGCAGAGUUUCGAAACAGGGUUACUUGGCAAGCUUACCUCCACACAACAAAAUGUGAACAGACAAAAGAAGUUAUCGAAAAGGCAAGAAGUGGCACACUUGCCUAAGAAAUUAAAUUCAGAUUGUUUCAGAGAUGUAUUUCCAGAGAACAAAGAAAAUGUCUUUGGGCCCAUGUUGAACUUUAAUCUAGCAUCUUUGGAAAGACCUUCGCUAUCACCAGGAACCAAAUCAUUUCUGCACCAUUGGAAUGUACCCCAAGGUACUGAGGCUUUCCAACAGCCCAAAACAGCAUGCAGUGAUCAGAGUGUGCUGUCACUCCUGUUCAGCCAAGACUCCCAGGGAAACAGAGUUAUCUCUCACCGGCGCACAGACAGCAGGCACGGAGCAGUUGUUUCCAACAAUCAGAACCUUCCAUUGGGCGUCAGUGGGGGCAUAUGCUAUAAUGUUCCUCUGAAAGAGAGACUGCAUCAUUCAGGCCUCUGGUGUGAAUCAUCCAGCAUAGCACAGUUGAAAUAUGAUGAUCCACAAGCAGAUUUGCUGUUUACACAAGAUUCUGAAGGCUAUGCAGUGAUCAAACAUUGUUAAAGAUGGGUGUAUUGAUUGCUAUUUUAUCUCUUUGAUUGUCUGCUUUCUCCCUCGUGUUCUGUAGGCAAGUUAAAGAUGUUAU